rnacentral:rRNA from 1 species
UACAGAGGGUGCGAGCGUUAAUCGGAAUUACUGGGCGUAAAGCGCACGCAGGUGGCUGAGUCAGUCGAUUGUGAAAGCCCUGGGCUUAACCUGGGAAUUGCAGUCGAUACUACUCAGCUAGAGUAUGGGAGAGGGUAGUGGAAUUCCCGGUGUAGCGGUGAAAUGCGUAGAGAUCGGGAAGAAGGCCGGUGGCGAAGGCGGCUCUCUGGAACGUUCCUGACACUGAGGCACGAAAGCGUGGGGAGCAAACAGG